rnacentral:rRNA from 1 species
UCACUUUCAACAACGGAUCUCUUGGCUCUCGCAUCGAUGAAGAACGUAGCAAAGUGCGAUAAGUAGUGUGAAUUGCAGAAUCCCGUGGAUCAUCGAAUUUUUGAACGCAAAUUGCACUUUCUGGUAUUCCGGAGAGUAUGCCUGUUUGAGGGUCAGUA